rnacentral:rRNA from 1 species
GACGAACGCUGGCGGCGUGCUUAACACAUGCAAGUCGAACGGAAAGGCCCUGCUUGCAGGGUACUCGAGUGGCGAACGGGUGAGUAACACGUGGGUGAUCUGCCCUGCACUUCGGGAUAAGCCUGGGUAACUGGGUCUAAUACCGGAUAGGAGCCAUUUUUAGUGUGAUGGUUGGAAAGUUUUUUCGGUGUAGGAUGAGCUCGCGGCCUAUCAGCUUGUUGGUGGGGUAAUGGCCUACCAAGGCGGCGACGGGUAGCCGGCCUGAGAGGGUGGACGGCCACAUUGGGACUGGGAUACGGACCAGACUCCUACGGGAGGCAGCAGUGGGGAAUAUUGCACAAUGGGCGUAAGCCUGAGGCAGCGACGCCGCGUGGGGGAUGACGGCCUUCGGGUUGUAAACUCCUUUCGCUAGGGACGAAGCUUUUUGUGACGGUACCUAGAUAAGAAGCACCGGCUAACUACGUG